AUGAAACGGUGGAUGAAGUGGAGUCAGUCAUAUUAUGCUACCGACUAUUAAGUAAAUAAUUUUUUGACUGAUGAAUCAGAGAUUCAGAAUACAAGAGUUUAUCUGCUAGUGAGUGUUCAUUUUCACAUCCAUCGCCUUUCAUUUGAACAAAAUCUCUUAGUUCUCCUACUCAUACCUGAGCAUCUACUGUCCAGCCUCAAAAGCAUUUUUUGAAAUCUGGAUCAAAUAGUUCUCUGUCUCCUAGUUCUUAUGUCCAAAACUCUAAGAGCACAUUUUCAUGUUCAUCCAUGUUCUGAUUCAGCUUAUACCAGUCUUCUUCUUUAAGCUCUGAAAGCCAUUGGCAGCUUGGAAAUCUCCCAUCUCUUCCACAUCCUCCAUCCUUCAACCAGUCUAUUUCUGCACAUGAUUCAAAAGCUCCAUUAGUUAUUAGUGGGGAUUUAGACAAUCUAUAUGAUGAGAAGAAUUCAGAGGUUCAUAUGAUAGACUUUCUUAAUUUUUCUGGAGAUGCUUCUAAAAUUAGAUGGCCUUCACAGUGUAAGUUGUGCAAGCGACAUUUUUACAGAGCAACUGGAGCUACAGUUUUUGUCUGAUGAACUAUCACUGACCAUGGAGAAAAUCCUCAGCUUGAAAGGCUACUCCAAAGGGCGUAUUGAAGCAUAUGCAUGUUGAAGGUUUGACCGUCUAUCAUGUGAAAAGCCACUUACAGAAAUACUGAUUUGCCAAGUAUACGCCCGAGAGAAAAGAAGCUAAGGAACAAAAAAGUGGAAAUAAAAGAGGUCCAAAGGGCCCUUCAGCUGGCAUAGAGGAAAAUGCAAGGUACUUGCAGAAGAUCUUGGCUGAACAAUAGAAAGCUGGCAUUGCCUUAAUUGCUCCUCCAACCUUGUCAUCGCUGACUAAUCCAUGCCAAGAUUUUGAAUUGCGGCCUUCUCCAUCAGCUGGUGCAUCACCUACACAUCCAGCUGUAUCUAAAAUGGAUUCAUCUUCACCUCUGUAAUCCAAGUAUAAAGCUACUGAUAGUAGUGAUUCUAAGCAACAAGUAUGCUCAAAAGGACCAACAUAUGGAAGAGAAACAAGAAUCCCGUUCAGAUAAAGGUAGUGGCUGAAAAUGAAGUGUAAUAUUUGGACUACUUCAGUUAUGCUGCUUGUUAUCUCCAACAUUUGCAUCAUCUCCACAAUGACCCAACUAUUGUAAAUCCGUCAAACGCAUGUAAUGUUUUGGCUGAACUGAAACAAGAGAUUCCAAAUACCAAUCAUAAAGAAAUUUGAUUGGUGAUAGUAUCUCUUGAUUCUCUUCAUAAGUAACAUUUUAGUUUUUUGAAUAAAAGAGAUUCAGAGGCCUUUCAGCUGAA